rnacentral:rRNA from 1 species
UACGUAGGGAGCUAGCGUUGUCCGGAAUCAUUGGGCGUAAAGCGCGCGUAGGCGGUUAUGCAAGUCGGGUGUGAAAGCCCGGAGCUCAGCUCCGGAAGUGCAUUCGAUACUGCGUAGCUAGAGUACUGGAGAGGAUGGUGGAACUCUCGGUGUAGAGGUGAAAUUCGUAGAUAUCGAGAAGAACACCGGUGGCGAAGGCGGCCAUCUGGACAGAUACUGACGCUGAGACGCGAAAGCGUGGGGAGCAAACAGG